rnacentral:miRNA from 14 species
CCCAUUGGAAAGAUCAGUGUCUUGACCCCAAUGGGCCUACAGUCUAAGUGUGGGACGGCAG